AUUGAUACUAAGCCAUGCGAGUCAUUGUAGCAAUACAAGGCAUACGGCUCAGUAACGCGUAGUCAACCUAACCUAUGGACGGGGAUAACCUCGGGAAACUGAGAAUAAUACCCGAUAGAACAUUAUUCCUGGAAUGGUUUAUGUUUCAAAUAAUUUAUUGCCGUAGGAUGGGACUGCGGCCUAUCAGUUUGUUGGUGAGGUAAUGGCCCACCAAGACUAUUACAGGUACGGGCUCUGAGAGGAGUAGCCCGGAGAUGGGUACUGAGACACGGACCCAGGCCCUAGGGGGCGCAGCAGGCGAGAAAACUUUGCAAUGUGCGAAAGCACGACAAGGUUAAUCCGAGUGGUUUCUGCUAAAGGAACCUUUUGACAGUCAUAGAACCACUGUUGAAUAAGGGGUGGGCAAGUUUUGGUGUCAGCCGCCGCGGUAAAACCAGCACCUCAAGUGGUCAGGAUGAUUAUUGGGCCUAAAGCAUCCGUAGCCUGCUUUGUCAGUUUUCGGUUAAAUCCAUACGCUCAACGUAUGGGCCGCCGGGAAUACUACAAAGCUAGGGAGUGGGAGAGGUAGACGGUACUCGGUAGGAAGGGGUAAAAUCCUUUGAUUUAUUGAUGACCACCUGUGGCGAAGGCGGUUUACCAGAACACGUCCGACGGUGAGGGAUGAAAGCUGGGGGAGCAAACCGGAUUAGAUACCCGGGUAGUCCCAGCUGUAAACUAUGCAAACUCGGUGAUGCAUUGGCUUGAUGCCAAUGCAGUGCCGCAGGGAAGCCGUUAAGUUUGCCGCCUGGGAAGUACGUACGCAAGUAUGAAACUUAAAGGAAUUGGCGGGGGAGCACCACAAGGGGUGGAGCCUGCGGUUCAAUUGGAGUCAACGCC
rnacentral:rRNA from 1 species